GGUUAAGCGACUAAGCGUACACGGUGGAUGCCCUGGCAGUCAGAGGCGAUGAAGGACGUGCUAAUCUGCGAAAAGCGCCGGCGAGGUGAUAUGAACCCUUGACCCGGCGAUGUCCGAAUGGGGAAACCCAGUGUGUUCCGACACACUAUCGUUAACUGAAUACAUAGGUUAACGAGGCGAACCGGGGGAACUGAAACAUCUAAGUACCCCGAGGAAAAGAAAUCAACCGAGAUU
rnacentral:rRNA from 1 species